rnacentral:rRNA from 1 species
GACGAACGCUGGCGGCGUGCUUAACACAUGCAAGUCGAACGGUAAGGCCCUUCGGGGUACACGAGUGGCGAACGGGUGAGUAACACGUGGGUGAUCUGCCCUGCACUUCGGGAUAAGCCUGGGAAACUGGGUCUAAUACCGGAUAGGACCCUGGGAUGCAUGUCCUGGGGGGGAAAGCUUUUGCGGUGUGGGAUGGGCCCGCGGCCUAUCAGCUUGUUGGUGGGGUGAUGGCCUACCAAGGCGACGACGGGUAGCCGGCCUGAGAGGGUAACCGGCCACACUGGGACUGAGAUACGGCCCAGACUCCUACGGGAGGCAGCAGUGGGGAAUAUUGCACAAUGGGCGCAAGCCUGAUGCAGCGACGCCGCGUGAGGGAUGACGGCCUUCGGGUUGUAAACCUCUUUCAGCACCGACGAAGCGCAAGUGACGGUAGGUGCAGAAGAAGGACCGGCCAACUACGUGCCAGCCGCCGCGGUAA